CUUUUGUGCUUCAAAAUUUCUUUGUUGAUACUAUGAUAAUAUAUAUAGAGGGUGGAUGGAUUCUUGGAGGGGUACAGUCUGAGUUUCUUUGCUAGAAUUUUGUUCAUAGAGUACUAAAUACUCGCCAUUGCAUCCCCUCGCCAUUAUUGCAUCCCCACCAGAUGUGAAAUGUUUUGUCUAUUUCAAGGAGGCAAGUUUAGAACACUUUGACAAAUUUUACCUUAUUGUAAUCCCAAAUAAUUUUAAAUCCUUUCCCUUCCCUCCACUCCAUCCCCCCAAAAUUUCUAGAACAAGAAUCGGUUACCUUUUACCUUUCAACACUAAAAAAGAAAACAAAACAAUACAAAUUAUAUCUACUUGUUGAAAAGUUUAGAGAGUCACAAUAGAUAAAAUGUAGAAUUUAGGAGGGUUGCCAUUUCUUUUCGCUAUCUCUGAAGAUUGUAUUUGUUUCUCUCUUUUUGGAGGGCAUUUUCCUCUCCUUCCUUCAUUUCUUCCUUCCCCUUCAUUUUUUUUUCUUCCUUGAAUCCUCAUGAAAGAGAUUCAUCAGAGUUGGUGCACAAUUUCCAACAAAUCCAAAAUCUAGAUCUUUAAGUCUCUGGUUCUGGGGUUUCAGAUGCACCAGAAUGCCCCUGCUUUGGGCAGAAAAGAUAUUUGUCUGCAGCAGGCUCUGGAGCCAGGCCUCCCAUCCAGGGAUCCUCUGUCUCUAUGCCUCUGUCUCUAUUCCACUGCCAGCCAUGAGUUUUUUGAGGACAGCACCUAACUUUCUGCCUUUCCUAAGGGUUUUUUUCUACUGCCUUGUGCCCCUGCCAGAUCCCCCUGAGCUCACUUGCAUUGAUUCAUGAAAAUCAUUGAUAUCUAAGCUUUUUUUCUUUAUUCCACUGCUUAUACAUAGUAAGCAUGGGGUAACUUUUCUGAAAAGUUAAAUCAAAAAGGUGAGUUAACAGGCUAUUGGAUGUAUAGUGCCCAUUACUCUUGGCUGAGGGAAAGAGCAUUCUAAGCAAUAAUUUUAAAUCCUUUUCACUGAGUACCUUGAAGCAAUGAAAGGAGUAAGAAAAGCAAGCUCGGUGGAGAGCAUUAGGCAAUUAUCAUUGAAAAUUAUUUAAGCUUAAAUAACUAAAAUAAUUUAUUCUAUAAAAAUCAUACGAAGUAGUGGAAAGGAUUCUGCACGGUCAAUUUGCUUUCUCAUGUAGCAGCUGAAGAGGUAAGCAAAAAAUGUUGAAUUCUAAAAGUCUCAACUUAGUGAAUUAAUAUAGAUUUGCGGGUGGCAUUAAAUACCCAAAGAUGAUGAUGAGUCAUUGCAGCAAGUGGAUUGGCAAAUGGGAUUAAAUGAUUUUCACUGAUACAAAAACAUAAUAAAAUGAAAGCAUUGAGUUCCACACAAAUGAUGACCUUCUCUGCCACUUCCACAAUAAAAUGAACACUUUUCCAAUAUUUAUAGAGAAUCACUAGGGAACAGUGGUUAAGAACAUGGACUUGGGAGACAGCCCACCUAAGUUUGAAUUGUAUUUCUGCCACUUCAAGGUACAGGUCCUUGGGCAUAUCAACAAAACACCAUGUGCCUUGGUUUCCUCCUCUGUAAAUUAGGGCAGUGUGUGAGUUACUCAUGUAAGUGCUCUGAAUAGGGCCUGGCACACAGGAAGUACUAUGUAUUAGCUAUUACACAUGCAUUCUUUGGUUGUUGGGUAGCUCUGUCUUUGCCCCAGCUGUCUUUGGGACUGUGAGCUGUGGAGGAAUCGCAUCCUCAGCCCGCACACUGUGGUGGUCCUCACCAUACUUGGAAUGUGGGGAAAAUCAUGUGUAUUUAUGGCGGGAGGGGAGGAGCAUCUUCUCAUCUCACUCCCACUGCUCAGGAUGCUCCUAUCCAUGUGAAGGGGGCUAGUAAUCACUUGUUCCUGCCCUGGAGACUCUACCAACAAAGAUUUUGAGCACCUUUCGUGUGCCUGCCCCUGGUGAGGUGUUGGUGAUACUGAGAUUGACAGGCACUGCCUGCUCUGGAGGUCGCAGUGAGACAUAGUGUGAGGCAAACAGACAGAGGAGGGCACAAGAGGCCAUGAGAGCCCAUGGAAUACACCAACUGGACUUCGGAAGGAUCAGGAAAGACUUCAUCCAGAAGGUGACAUAUUUAAUUGAAUGUUAAAUAAUUGAUAGGAUUCUCUAGAUAGAUAAGGAGGGAUGGAGUAAAAGAAAGCAAGCACCCAAGUGCCUAGAAUGUGACUAGUUUAGGGAAUAGUAGGUCAUGCUCUAUGGAUCUUAUCCCAGUAUUGGGUUAACCCUCUGGCAAGAGUGUGGCUAUUCCAUAUGACCUCUUUCUAGUUAAGAAGACGGAGUUAAUUCAAGCUUGGUGAGUGGACCACAGGCUGCAUCAGUAUCUACUGUUCCCAGGCUGGGCACUCUAUGCUUUAGUUCUAUAAUCUAGCUCCUAUAGCUUUGCUACAACAUGCUGUUGACUUUCUCCUUGUGGUUAAGAACUACAUGUGACUCCUCUCUCUAUAUCAUCUGAAACUGGAUCUCAGUUGGGGUUCUCAGACCAACAGCAUCAGAAUUGUAUAAAGAGUGUAUUUAAAAAUGCAAAUUUCAACCAGUGGUCCAAGAUGGCAGCAUGGGAAGAUCCUGAACUCACCUCCUUCCAUGGCAUAAAAACAGACACAUAGAUCAAUGAAACAGAAUAGAGAUCCCAGAAAUAAACCCAUGCAUAUAUGGUCAAUUAAUUUACAACAAAGGAGGCAAGAAUAUAUCAUGGGGAAAGGAUGGACUCUUUAAUAAAUGGUGUUGGGCAAACUGUCCAGCCACAUGCAAAAAAAAAAAAAAAAAAAAAGGAAACUGAACUACUAUCCUACAUCAGACCUAAAAAUUAUCUCAAUCUGGAUUAAAAACUUGAACAUAAGACCAGACACCAUAAAACUCCUAGAAGAAAACAUAGGUGUUAAGCUCCUUGACAUCACUAUUGGUGAUGAUUUUUAAAAUCUGACUCCAAAGCAAUGGAAACAAAAUAAAAAAUAAACAAGUGGGAUUACAUCAAACUAAAACGUUUCUGCACAG
rnacentral:lncRNA from 1 species